rnacentral:lncRNA from 1 species
CGAGCAGUUCACGGUGGCGGUUGUUGCAACAAUCCUGGAAAUUUACAGCAGCAAGCAAACAGUCUUGUUUAGAUUGUUUGUGGGUGGUGCCACCAUAUAUUUGAUUUUGAUAUUGAUUUCGGUAUGGUAGAAAAGUAUACUAGUGCUGCUGGCUUCUUCUCAUGUUACUAAACAUUGUUACUCUUAGCAUAUGAACCAUGCUGUUGUAAUGAAAAUACUUACUGUGUUGCAUACAUUGCUCAUCUCGCAUCACAUCGCCACAAACCUACUUGCUGCAGUACCAACUUCAGUGAGAAUUUUUACAGUGAAAUUUAUAUAUCUCCUAUUAAUAGAGAAGUAGUUAGGGCCUUUGGAUUCUUAGUAGAACCCCAAAGUAUACUCACAACUUGUUUGAGCAAAAGACUUAAUCAAGUGUUCUAGUUAACCAAGUAAAAUCAUAAUCUAAGACUCACGAAAAUCUGUUUCAAUUAACGAAAAUAUGUCCAACUAAUUGAAAGGUCAAAACCACUAGUAAUUUCAAUUCUCGACAAUUACUCUUGUUUUUUUUUUUUUUUCCAUCAAAGCUUAAAAAAACAUUAAUGAUAAAAAGGAUAAAAAGGAGAAGUGUUUUUUGUAAGCUUUGAUGGAAAAAAAAGAAAAAGAAACAAGAGUAAUUGUCAAGAACUAAGCUGGGUGGAACUAUUCUUUUGAUGUUGUAGUUCCUCUCAAAGAGCGUUCAACCUUCUUAGUCCAUGUUCAGUAGUUUAUAUCAAACAUCCAACAAUUUCCCAAAUUAAAUUAUUUGAAUAAAAACAAUUUAAUAAUAAUAAAUUAAUUUCUCUACAUAUUAUCAAUGAACACUCCUUAUCUAAUGAAUUUAACAAUGUGUAAAUUAUUAAAUUCUUUAAAUUAAAAUGAUAAAUUUAACACGUUAAUGAAUAAAAAGAAUAGUGUGAAACUAUUUCUUCUUUUUACAAAUAAAAUACAUCAAAUUUUUAAACUCUGUAAACCAAGCACCCUGAAAAGGGUAAAAAGGCUGCACCAAGAAGCCUUGUAUAGCACUAUAAGCGCGAGGGAUAAUGGUUGAUGGGGAAAUAGGAAACAACAAGUGGAGCUCCUCUUGAUUUUUGUUUCUCUGAAGAAGGAGAUUUCAGUUGAGAUGAUCCUUCGGCAUAGUCAGAGACUUGACAUGAUGUGGAUGGAGUAAAGCAAUUCAAGAAAUAUGACAUCAAAGCCAUAUAUAUCAUUAGUAAGUGUUUUGGUACCUUCCCUUAGUUUUCUUGGUGAGUUUCACGUAAAAUAUGUUUGGGUGGAGGCUAGCUAUCAAUUGUAGUUCCUCUUUCUAAGGAAGCAAGUAGUGAAAUUUGAAAUUAUUGAAGAGGAAUUCUUCUGUUUAUGAAUGUGCAAAGCUGAAAUGAAUUAACGUCUUGCUGUGUGAGUGAUAUAAUUGAGGAAAUUUGAAAUAUUUAUAGCACGAUAUGAUAUAAGACAGAGGAAGAUACCAUGUUAUUUCAUUUGCUUAGGGAGCAAGGAGAACAUAUAUGGGACCACAAAGCACUUUAUUUGAAAAAUUUUGGAGUCUUUAGUGGCUGCAUAUGACUUGAUCCUCACUCAAUAUCUUGGGGUUUUUAGAAUUAAAGUAGAGUAU